AGAUUCUUAUCGAGACACUUUCGUCCAAUCACAAACUAUUGACUCAUUUCUUUACAUAACUCAAAAAGCUGGAACUGAUGUGUUUUGAGAUGCAAACUAUGCGCUUCCAGCGAGUCAAGCUCCAGCAGACAAAUAUUACACCCAUACGCGGUUCGUUUCUUCUUGUGAAUCUUUGUAUGGGCACGUAGAUUCGAAAGAUGGGUAAACGCUUUCGGACAGGUGUCACACUUGAACGGGCGUUCACCUGAAACAAAAACGUUUUGAAGUUACCCGAGGUGUCCUUGCGGGCGUCGAUCAAUCACAGUUGAAAAUCUUCUCCACAUCGAUCUGGUGUUCCAGCAAGUGGGAUUUGAGCUGAUCCGCCAUUUCGAACGUAUUGCUGCACUUGUCACACUUGAAGAACCCAUUGGUUUUGGUGAGCAGUUUCAUGUGUACCUGAAAAAUGUUAAGUGUCGUAUGUAUUGGAUUCAUUUGUUCUCUUAAAAAACAAGGUUGGUCGCAAACCUGGGAAAGUAACUGUACGCCCUAUGUAUUUCUGUUCAAUGUAGUCCUACGUUUGAAAACAGUUUGAACAAUAUUUCGAUGAGAAUUCACUUACAAUUUCUGGGAGAAAGUUAUUCUCGAGCUGCGUGAAAAAUCAUAUCGCGAAACACAACAAUAAAACAAGACACAACGUCAGAAUGAAAAUCGAUGCAAAAGUAGGCCGGGAUCCUUUUUCCGAAUUUUAACUUCCAAUCGAAGCAAGCAUUUUGUUGAUGCGACGAUUUUGCUCACUGAGGAUUAUAGUUACAUGAGAGAAGCAACUAUAAUUCUCACCAGAAGCCAAAAUGGAGCGAGGACCAGUUACUUCACGAAUUCCGUCAAUAUCAAAGAUUCCCAUAUGCUCUUGCGCCAAUCAGGAGACUGGAGUUAGGAUGGAUAAGGAUCGUUCUUCGAAGAAGGGUGUUGGAAAUGUAGGCGAUCAACAAAUGGAGAAAAAACAUCAAAUAUGGUUUUUCAACUACAGUGGAUGGUGGAUGUGGAUUGAAGAAGAAACAUCGCCGCAGCUUGUCCCAAGUGAUAUCAAGUUCCCAGUGACGCGCAUCUGGAGGAUGAUGACGAAGAUGUAUUUGACUGGGAACCAGGAAAUAUUUCGGAGAAGCUGAAGAUAAAAGCUGAAAGAAAUCUCUUGAAAAUAAAGGCAGAGAACGAGAAACUUCGGCAAGAGAACCAGCGAUUGAAGGCUAAAAAAGGCUUAAGCCUAAUAAACCAAUUAUGUUUCCGAUUCAUGCUAUUCAUGGUGGGUGAGGUGGCGGAAUCGGUUUUUAACUCAUUUUAAAUCAAUUGUAUCAACUAAAUGAGGUGGUGAAUGUUUGUUUUAUGUAUUUUUUGUUUGUUUUUUGUUGUUGUUGCGAGUUGUUGUUUGAUCCUGUUUUUGUAAUAUCAUUCCACGUUGCAAAUUGUACUUUAGCUUUUGUCAUGAGUUUAGUUGAUAUUUUAAAUAUUUUAUUGUUUUCAAUUUUAUUGUUAUGCUAUUUAUUUACUAUUGGGUUUUCGUUGCAAUUUCUGUUGUUGUGUUUAAUGUUAUAUUUUCAUGUCAGACUUUUUCUGCUUUUUCAAUUGUUUGUUAGGUUGUUAUAUUUAGUUUAGAUCGUAAAUCACAUACAAUUCAUUUAUAGAACUUCUUCGUUGAAGAUUUAAUUAUUGUUUUAUUUUUAUUUUUUUGCAUGAAAUGUUUUGAGUUCCUGUUCAAGCAAGUUGACGUCUGCAAAACAGCGAAUCCUGAGGAGCGUAGAAUGAAGCAACACAAUUGAUAUUUGAUAUGCAAGACUACAAAAAGGGACGUAUGGACAUGGACAAACCUGGAUGGUAUAUUUUUUUUUCAAGAUGUAUUCUAUGCUGCUUCGAUAUUUGUUGAAUGGAAUAAAUUUAGUUGAUUACAAAUAAAA